rnacentral:misc_RNA from 1 species
AAAACCACUAACGCUCUUUUGCUUGGUCAUGGAAGAAGAGUUUGCUUGCAAUCUCUCCUCCGAAAUUCAAAGGCGGAAAGUCUCAGAGCCCCGGCGUAGUAAUAAUAUUUCGCUUGGAACUUGAAAUGAUCCUGCCCUUAACCCCCAAUUUAUCUA